rnacentral:rRNA from 1 species
GAUGGACGCUGGCGGCGUGCUUAACACAUGCAAGCCGAGCGAAGCGCUCUGUCCGGAUUCUUUCGGGAUGACGGACUUAGUGACUGAGCGGCGGACGGGUGAGUAACGCGUGGGUAACCUGCCUCAUACAGGGGGAUAACAGUUAGAAAUGACUGCUAAUACCGCAUAAGACCACAGUACCGCAUGGUACAGGGGUAAAAACUCCGGUGGUAUGAGAUGGACCCGCGUCUGAUUAGCUGGUUGGUGGGUAACGCCUACCAAGGCGACGAUCAGUAGCCGCCUGAGAGGGCGACCGGCCACAUUGGGACUGAGACACGGGCCCAAACUCCUACGGGAGGCAGCAGUGGGGAAUAUUGCACAAUGGGC